CGCUGGACUUCAAGAGCUGCUGUGACAACAUCUGGAUAAAUAUAAAGUGUUUGACUAUAACUUCAUUCACCAAAGAACAAACCACUGGAGGACGUGAUUUAUUUAUGACUCCAGUUCACUCAUAUUUACAAUGAACGUCUGAUUUGUUUUUCUAUCAGGGUAAACUUGGUGACUAACAAGGAGAAAAGCUCUGUGGUUCAUUUUCCCCCAAGUGAAAGUGAAAGUACCACGUAUGGCAGAUGGCAGGGCAUAGAGAAACGGGACAUAAUCAGGAUUUAUGGUCACAGAUGGAACAAAAAAAAAAAAAAACGCAUUUCUGAUGAUCUAAUCAUGUUUAUAUAAAGUUUUUUUUUACCUUUUACUGUAGAUACUGAGCUCUGCCAAGGCCACACCCAAACACAUGUUCUAAUCUUCUGCUUCCUGAAAGCGCCAUUGGAAGAAAUCUGUCCAGCUGCAUCUACGACAAAAGAGGAUCUUAACCAACAAAAGUCAACACUUUUGUAAGAUUAACCUUCUACAACAACAGAAGCUCUAAUCAGGCCCGGUUGGACUAGAGGUGAGGAUGUCUCAGACUUCAAAGAAAAGAUGGAAAGAAACCCUGAUCUCAAUCCUGGAGAACUUGACUCCACCACAGUUCAAAAAGAUGCUGAACCUUCUGGACAAAAUCCCUCAAGGUUUAAAGAAUAUGAGACUUAAAGUCGAGGCAGCCCAGAGAAUCCUCGAGACCUAUGGGGACAAAGAGUCCAUCCGUGAAAUAAAUGAAGUAAUGAAAAAGAUCCCUCGGAACGAUGCUGCAAUCCAGGACCUGCUGGCUCCUUUUGUGAGAAAAGUGAAGAGCAAACCCCAGAAAAAGAAGCAAGAGGAGAAGAGAGAAACCAACAAGCGUUUCCAGAAACAAAGCAUCCGUGCUGUGGUAUCCAGGGGUCAACUUCCUGACACCAAAUGCAUCAUUGGGAAAGUUUGUAAGAAAUCAGAACUUCGUACAUAUAGAACCCAAAAAAAUGAGGAAAAGUUCUUCUUCCACCUGGGGGUUGCUGAUAAAACAGCCAGUGUUAAGGUGAUGGUGUAUGGAAACCAGCGCUUUGCAACCAUCACAGAAGGGACAUGCUACUCUUUCAGAAAAGUCCUGGUGGAGGGAAACAUGAUCAAGGUCACCAGAUUGAGCUAUGUGGUGAAGACCAGAUCAGUUCAACUCCCACCAGAGCUGGAGAUGGAAGCUCAGAGUCUCAUUUCCCAGCAGGCCCAGGCGGCACAAACAGCUGCUGACACGGUUCAGAACGUCCAGAUUCGCAUCACGAGAAUCACAAAAUCCAACAAGAAGUACACUCACCUGGAGGCAGAGCUCAACCAGCAGCAUCUAAACCUUCAGGUGACACAUCUACGUCUGGCAAAGGCCCUCGGCUUCACACUGGGGGAGGAUUUUGGACAGAUGCUCCAGAACCAAAUACCGUUCUCAGCAGAUGUAAAAAUACAAGGAAAAAUAAUUAAAGACAUUGAAAAGCUGUAA
rnacentral:lncRNA from 1 species